GCGCGGCAUAUCGUCUCUCGCAUUGCGCAAACGACAGGCUGUUGGAGCUCUGCUUCCAACAGCUCGAACUUGAGACUGAGAAGACCGUUCCUGCGGCUGGGAUGUGAAACCAACCAUGAACGUGCUCGCUGAAAAUCGCAGGGAUAGCACCAAAAAAUAUAUCAAUAUUUCCUCAUAAGGAGAUGGGAGGAAAGAAAAUCUCCCAUCGUCAAUCAACCUGACUCUGGACUCAAUCUCAAUGCUUGACUCUUGACUACUUCUGAAAGGUCCUUGAAAGAUGCAACCUGACCUGCUGAGUGCUACCAGUAUUUCCUCUUAAUGCUUAAGAUGCAAAAGGGGACUGACUAUCAUGGGUCUGGUGGUAUUGGUUUCAUGAGGAAUAUUUUCAAAACAACUUGAACGGCACAGUGACGCAGCGGUAGAGUUGCUGCCUUACAGCGUUCGAUCCUGACAGCGGGUGCUGUCUGUACGGAGUCUGUAUUUUCUCCCUAUGACCACAUGGAUUUUCCUGGGUGCUCCAGUUUCCUCUCACACUCCAAAGACGUACAAGUUUGUAGGUUAAUUGACUUUAGUAAAAAUUGUAAAUCGUCCCGAGGAUUCGGUGGGUCGAAGGGCAUGUUUCCACGCUGUAUCGCUAAACUAACUAAUCUAAACAUCUUGAGAAUGCACUGUGAUUCUUUGCAAUGUGCCAUCUGUUUUUAGUUAAAAUCCAUAAAAUAUAUCUUUGGCAAUGCAGCUCUUCACCCAAUAUCGAUCAAGAGCCAAGAGACUCUAGAGAGUGAAGGGUGCUUAAUUGUCACAUAUACUGACAAUAGAACAAUGAAAUUCUUAGCAGCAGAGUAGCCCUGAAAGCAGAAUACACUUUGGUAAUAAACACUAAACAAAAAAAAUCAAUAAAUCAAUGAUUUAUCCCUGACUACAGGCGCUGUCUGUAUGGAGUUUGUGCGUUUCCCCUGUGACCGCAUGGGUUUUCUCCGGUUGCUCUGGUUUCCACACAUAUGCCAUAGAUCUACAGGUUUGUCGGUUAAUUGGUUUUGGUAGUGUGCAGUGUGUGACAAUGUAACGGGCUGAUCGCUGGUCGACGCGGAUUCGGUGGACCGAAAAAAGACUGUUUCUACGCUAUAUCUGUAUACAAAACUAAACUAAAUUACCACAAC